UCUGGUUGAUCCUGCCUGAACUGAUGUAUUCAUUUCAAAGAUUAAGCCAUGCAUGUAUAAGUUUAAUCGUUUUAACGAGAAACCGCGAACGGCUCAUUACAAUGGCCAUGAUUUACUUGAUCUUGAUUAUCUAAAUGGAUAACUGUGGAAAAGCUAGAGCUAAUACAUGCACCAAAGCUUUGUCCUCUCGGAAAAGCGCAUUUAUUAGAACAAAACCACGCGGCUUCGGCUGCUUCUUGUUGACUCAGAAUAACUAAGCUGACCGCAUGGCCUUGUGCCGGCGGCGUGUCUUUCAAGCGUCCACUUUAUCAACUUGACGGGAGCAUAAUCGACUCCCGUGGUGGUGACGGAUAACGGAGGAUCAGGGUUCGACUCCGGAGAAGGGGCCUGAGAAAUGGCCACUACGUCUAAGGAUGGCAGCAGGCGCGCAAAUUACCCACUCUCGGCUCGAGGAGGUAGUGACGAGAAAUAACGAGAUCGUUCUCUUUGAGGCCGGUCAUCGGAAUGGGUACAAUUUAAACCCUUUAACGAGUAUCAAGCAGAGGGCAAGUCUGGUGCCAGCAGCCGCGGUAAUUCCAGCUCUGCUAAUACAUAGAAUUAUUGCUGCGGUUAAAAAGCUCGUAGUUGGAUUCGUAUCGGUACCCUGGAACCCUCCGGGUGUUUCUGGGUGUUAUCGAUUUAUCGUAAUGUUCGGUUUUGAGUCCUUAACAGGAUUCUUAACAGGCAUUGCAAGUUUACUUUGAACAAAUCAGAGUGCUUCAAACAGGCGUUUUCGCUUGAAUGAUCGUGCAUGGAAUAAUAGAAAACGAUUUCGGUUCAGUUUUAUUGGUUUUACGGACUGAGAUAAUGGUUAACAGAGACAAACGGGGCAUUUGUAUGGCCCCGUGAGAGGUGAAAUUCUUGGACCGUGGCCAGACAAACUACAGCGAAAGCAUUUGCCAAGAAUGUCUUCAUUAAUCAAGAACGAAAGUCAGAGGUUCGAAGGCGAUCAGAUACCGCCCUAGUUCUGACCGUAAACGAUGCCAACUAGCGAUCCGCCGAUGGAAAUUAUAUUGCCUUGGUGGGGAGCUUCCCGGAAACGAAAGUCUUCCGGUUCCGGGGGAAGUAUGGUUGCAAAGCUGAAACUUAAAGGAAUUGACGGAAGGGCACCACCAGGAGUGGAGCCUGCGGCUUAAUUUGACUCAACACGGGGAAACUCACCCGGCCCGGACACUGUGAGGAUUGACAGAUUGAUAGCUUUUUCAUGAUUCAGUGGAUGGUGGUGCAUGGCCGUUCUUAGUUCGUGGAGUGAUUUGUCUGGUUUAUUCCGAUAACGAGCGAGACUCUAACCUACUAAAUAGCUGGUACAUAAUUUUAGUGUAUACAGCUUCUUAGAGGGAUUUGCGGUGUUCAGCCGAAAGAAAUUGAGCAAUAACAGGUCUGUGAUGCCCUUAGAUGUCCGGGGCUGCACGCGCGCUACACUGGCAAAAUCAACGUGCUUGUCCUACCCCGAAAGGGGCGGGUAAACCAUUGAAAAUUUGCCGUGAUUGGGAUCGGAAAUUGCAAUUAUUUUCCGUGAACGAGGAAUUCCAAGUAAGUGCGAGUCAUCAGCUCGCGUUGAUUACGUCCCUGCCCUUUGUACACACCGCCCGUCGCUGCCCGGGACUGAGCCAUUUCGAGAAAUUUGGGGACCGUUGAUUUAAUUUUUCUAAAUUACUUUGAUGGAAACCAAUUUAAUCGCAGUGGCUUGAACCGGGCAAAAGUCGUAACAAGGUAGCUGUAGGUGAACCUGCUGCUG
rnacentral:rRNA from 1 species